rnacentral:lncRNA from 1 species
AGUUUAGAUACAGAGAGAGAUAAACAAUGCAAGAUGAUUCAUAGCGGUAUAUAUCUUAGGCCAAAUAACCUAGCAGCAUGUACAGGAUGGUUAUUCCGCCUUACGUUGCUGGCUUAGGACGCAUCAGGAGCUAUCUUUUGACUGCUUAGUCGCCACCUUGAUCUUCAACUCUAAAAUCUACACAUGUGACAUAGCGACCACCGCCGGAUUCAAUAGAUUUCGAUACAGAUGCUUUAUGCCGCACACACAGCAAGAAGUGAGUUAGUAUCGGAAUGUAUGUGGAAAUAAACUCCCCUAUCUCAUUACUCGAAUAUUUUUAGUACUGUACCUCCGGUUUAAUAUUAGCCGUCCAAUCCUCCUCAUCCAAGAGAAAAGAUUAUUUAUACUUCUUGUGUUAGUAGUAGGGAGUAGAAAUAUUGUGAGGGUAAGAUUGAAAGUGACCUCUUGGAUAUAUUAGUAAUUUCGGUUUUUUACUCUUUCUUCAGCACGUGGGAUGGUAAGUUCUUGCAUUGGAUAUGUAGAACCUAAAUUUGCA